UACGUAGGGUCCGAGCGUUAAUCGGAAUUACUGGGCGUAAAGCGUGCGCAGGCGGUUUUGUAAGUCAGAUGUGAAAGCCCCGGGCUCAACCUGGGAACUGCAUUUGGGACUGCAAAGCUGGAGUACGGCAGAGGGAGGUGGAAUUCCACGUGUAGCAGUGAAAUGCGUAGAGAUGUGGAGGAACACCGAUGGCGAAGGCAGCCUCCUGGGCUAGUACUGACGCUCAUGCACGAAAGCGUGGGGAGCAAACAGG
rnacentral:rRNA from 1 species